rnacentral:rRNA from 1 species
GACGAACGCUGGCGGCGUGCUUAACACAUGCAAGUUGAACGGAAAGGCCCUGCUUUUGUGGGGUGCUCGAGUGGCGAACGGGUGAGUAACACGUGAGUAACCUGCCCUUGACUUUGGGAUAACUUCAGGAAACUGGGGCUAAUACCGGAUAGGAGCUCCUGCUGCAUGGUGGGGGUUGGAAAGUUUCGGCGGUUGGGGAUGGACUCGCGGCUUAUCAGCUUGUUGGUGGGGUAGUGGCUUACCAAGGCUUUGACGGGUAGCCGGCCUGAGAGGGUGACCGGCCACAUUGGGACUGAGAUACGGCCCAGACUCCUACGGGAGGCAGCAGUGGGGAAUAUUGCACAAUGGGCGGAAGCCUGAGGCAGCAACGCCGCGUGCGGGAUGACGGCCUUCGGGUUGUAAACCGCUUUCGCCGGUGACGAAGCGUGAGUGACGGUAAUGGGUAAAGAAGCACCGGCUAACUACGUG